UGCUCCUACGGGACGCAGCAGUGGGGAAUAUUGGGCAAUGGGCGCAAGCCUGACCCAGCAACGCCGCGUGAAGGAAGAAGGCUUUCGGGUUGUAAACUUCUUUUGACAGGGAAGAGUAGAAGACGGUACCUGUCGAAUAAGCCACGGCUAACUACGUGCCAGCAGCCGCGGUAAUACGUAGGUGGCAAGCGUUAUCCGGAUUUAUUGGGUGUAAAGGGCGUGUAGGCGGGAAUGCAAGUCAGAUGUGAAAACUAUGGGCUCAACCCAAAGCCUGCAUUUGAAACUGUUGGUCUUGAGUAUCGGAG
rnacentral:rRNA from 1 species